UACCCAGCAACUCCUAUCCCUACCUCCUCGUGAUACUGGCCGGGGUACGAGUAACCUUGGGGAAGAUCGGGUAACCAACCCCCGGUGGGAACUUUGGUCGUAUGCUGACAGGGAAGG
rnacentral:ribozyme from 1 species